rnacentral:rRNA from 1 species
CAGUAGAGAAUCUUGUGCAAUGCACGAAAGUAUGACACAGAGAGGACACAUUUAUUUGAGCCCGUCAAAUUAAGUGCCAGCCGACGCGGUUAGACUUAAGGGCUGGUCUUUAUAAGUAAAAAGGCGUAAAGGAUGUGUAGGCCAAGAAAUUAUCAAAGAAGGUAAAUGGAAUUUUUCUGGAGCGGUAGAAUGUGAGGAUAGAAAAUAGAACACCUAAGGUUAAAACUAUUUACCACAAAAUAGGCUGAAACAUGAAAGUGUGGGGAGCAAACAGGAUUAGAGACCCUGGUAGUCCACACUGUGAACUCUGAAGAUGAUGCUUAGCAGACCCGAAAGGUAAAAUCUUCCGCCUGAGUAGUACGAUCGCAAGAUUAAAAUUCAAAAACUUUGGCUGUUCACUAUUUCGAUUAGAGGAGCGUGUAGUUUAAUUCGAUGGUCCGCGUGUUACCUUACCUCAGCUUGAAUCUAUGACCGGUAUUGCAUGGCCGUCGUAAGUCCGUGUGUUAAGCUAGAAGGGACCCAAUCCGGGCGUUUGCCCGAAGGAAGUCAGGUCUUAUGAUCCGAAUGUUGAGGGAUUAUAUGCGCUACAUUUUCUUAUAUAAUGAGAGACUUGAAAGGUAAGCCUCUAAAGUAAGAGUUCGGAAGGUCGCUGUAAAACGACUGGAAGUUGGAUUUAAUAGUAAUCGGAAAGUAGAGCGUUCCGGUGAAUUGGUACAAGUGUUAGCACAAAUUGCCCGUCACCUUUACCUAGGAUGGUUAUUCGGACGCCUUCGGUGGUUACGAAUGCCUAC